rnacentral:rRNA from 1 species
UGAGGAACAUGACCUUCGGCGGGGGAUAGCCGGCCCAACGGCCGGGUAAUACCGCGUACGACCACUUUGGGACAUCCCUAGGUGGUGAAAGCAGCAAUGCGCCGAUGGAGUGCCUCGCGGCCUAUCAGUUAGUUGGUGAGGUAACGGCUCACCAAGGCGACGACGGGUAGCUGGUCUGAGAGGAUGGCCAGCCACAUUGGGACUGAGACACGGCCCAGACCUCCUACGGGAGG